rnacentral:rRNA from 1 species
UUAAGCGACUAAGCGUACACGGUGGAUGCCCUGGCAGUCAGAGGCGAUGAAGGACGUGCUAAUCUGCGAUAAGCGUCGGUAAGGUGAUAUGAACCGUUAUAACCGGCGAUUUCCGAAUGGGGAAACCCAGUGUGUUUCGACACACUAUCAUUAACUGAAUCCAUAGGUUAAUGAGGCGAACCGGGGGAACUGAAACAUCUAAGUACCCCGAGGAAAAGAAAUCAACCGAGAUUCCCCCAGUAGCGGCGAGCGAACGGGGAGGAGCCCAGAGCCUGAAUCAGUGUGUGUGUUAGUGGAAGCGUCUGGAAAGGCGCGCGAUACAGGGUGACAGCCCCGUACACAAAAAUGCACAUGCUGUGAGCUCGAUGAGUAGGGCGGGACACGUGGUAUCCUGUCUGAAUAUGGGGGGACCAUCCUCCAAGGCUAAAUACUCCUGACUGACCGAUAGUGAACCAGUACCGUGAGGGAAAGGCGAAAAGAACCCCGGCGAGGGGAGUGAAAAAGAACCUGAAACCGUGUACGUACAAGCAGUGGGAGCACGCUUAGGCGUGUGACUGCGUACCUUUUGUAUAAUGGGUCAGCGACUUAUAUUCUGUAGCAAGGUUAACCGAAUAGGGGAGCCGAAGGGAAACCGAGUCUUAACUGGGCGUUAAGUUGCAGGGUAUAGACCCGAAACCCGGUGAUCUAGCCAUGGGCAGGUUGAAGGUUGGGUAACACUAACUGGAGGACCGAACCGACUAAUGUUGAAAAAUUAGCGGAUGACUUGUGGCUGGGGGUGAAAGGCCAAUCAAACCGGGAGAUAGCUGGUUCUCCCCGAAAGCUAUUUAGGUAGCGCCUCGUGAACUCAUCUCCGGGGGUAGAGCACUGUUUCGGCAAGGGGGUCAUCCCGACUUACCAACCCGAUGCAAACUGCGAAUACCGGAGAAUGUUAUCACGGGAGACACACGGCGGGUGCUAACGUCCGUCGUGAAGAGGGAAACAACCCAGACCGCCAGCUAAGGUCCCAAAGUCAUGGUUAAGUGGGAAACGAUGUGGGAAGGCCCAGACAGCCAGGAUGUUGGCUUAGAAGCAGCCAUCAUUUAAAGAAAGCGUAAUAGCUCACUGGUCGAGUCGGCCUGCGCGGAAGAUGUAACGGGGCUAAACCAUGCACCGAAGCUGCGGCAGCGACGCUUAUGCGUUGUUGGGUAGGGGAGCGUUCUGUAAGCCUGUGAAGGUGUGCUGUGAGGCAUGCUGGAGGUAUCAGAAGUGCGAAUGCUGACAUAAGUAACGAUAAAGCGGGUGAAAAGCCCGCUCGCCGGAAGACCAAGGGUUCCUGUCCAACGUUAAUCGGGGCAGGGUGAGUCGACCCCUAAGGCGAGGCCGAAAGGCGUAGUCGAUGGGAAACAGGUUAAUAUUCCUGUACUUGGUGUUACUGCGAAGGGGGGACGGAGAAGGCUAUGUUGGCCGGGCGACGGUUGUCCCGGUUUAAGCGUGUAGGCUGGUUUUCCAGGCAAAUCCGGAAAAUCAAGGCUGAGGCGUGAUGACGAGGCACUACGGUGCUGAAGCAACAAAUGCCCUGCUUCCAGGAAAAGCCUCUAAGCAUCAGGUAACAUCAAAUCGUACCCCAAACCGACACAGGUGGUCAGGUAGAGAAUACCAAGGCGCUUGAGAGAACUCGGGUGAAGGAACUAGGCAAAAUGGUGCCGUAACUUCGGGAGAAGGCACGCUGAUAUGUAGGUGAAGUCCCUCGCGGAUGGAGCUGAAAUCAGUCGAAGAUACCAGCUGGCUGCAACUGUUUAUUAAAAACACAGCACUGUGCAAACACGAAAGUGGACGUAUACGGUGUGACGCCUGCCCGGUGCCGGAAGGUUAAUUGAUGGGGUCAGCGCAAGCGAAGCUCUUGAUCGAAGCCCCGGUAAACGGCGGCCGUAACUAUAACGGUCCUAAGGUAGCGAAAUUCCUUGUCGGGUAAGUUCCGACCUGCACGAAUGGCGUAAUGAUGGCCAGGCUGUCUCCACCCGAGACUCAGUGAAAUUGAACUCGCUGUGAAGAUGCAGUGUACCCGCGGCAAGACGGAAAGACCCCGUGAACCUUUACUAUAGCUUGACACUGAACAUUGAGCCUUGAUGUGUAGGAUAGGUGGGAGGCUUAGAAGUGUGGACGCCAGUCUGCAUGGAGCCGACCUUGAAAUACCACCCUUUAAUGUUUGAUGUUCUAACGUUGACCCGUAAUCCGGGUUGCGGACAGUGUCUGGUGGGUAGUUUGACUGGGGCGGUCUCCUCCUAAAGAGUAACGGAGGAGCACGAAGGUUGGCUAAUCCUGGUCGGACAUCAGGAGGUUAGUGCAAUGGCAUAAGCCAGCUUGACUGCGAGCGUGACGGCGCGAGCAGGUGCGAAAGCAGGUCAUAGUGAUCCGGUGGUUCUGAAUGGAAGGGCCAUCGCUCAACGGAUAAAAGGUACUCCGGGGAUAACAGGCUGAUACCGCCCAAGAGUUCAUAUCGACGGCGGUGUUUGGCACCUCGAUGUCGGCUCAUCACAUCCUGGGGCUGAAGUAGGUCCCAAGGGUAUGGCUGUUCGCCAUUUAAAGUGGUACGCGAGCUGGGUUUAGAACGUCGUGAGACAGUUCGGUCCCUAUCUGCCGUGGGCGCUGGAGAACUGAGGGGGGCUGCUCCUAGUACGAGAGGACCGGAGUGGACGCAUCACUGGUGUUCGGGUUGUCAUGCCAAUGGCACUGCCCGGUAGCUAAAUGCGGAAGAGAUAAGUGCUGAAAGCAUCUAAGCACGAAACUUGCCCCGAGAUGAGUUCUCCCUGACCCCUUAAGAGUCCUGAAGGAACGUUGAAGACGACGACGUUGAUAGGCCGGGUGUGUAAGCGCAGCGAUGCGUUGAGCUAACCGGUACUAAUGAACCGUGAGGCUUAACCUU